rnacentral:lncRNA from 1 species
AAAAAAAUGUUCUCAGCCCUGAGGAAACUCUUCUUCCUAGGAAUGCCUAAGAAAAUCCAGUGGCACAAUGUAACUCCCAGUGACUUUCUAAUUAUUAGCAAAAUUUUGAUUUUAAAACUGAGAAUUGCUGGUGUUACAGACAUUUUUUUUUUAAUUAUUCCCACAAUAGUUUUUCUCUUCAGUCCCCACAUUGUAUUGUCACUAGUAAGGACAGACUGGAAGGAGUGUAUCACAAACUUCUGUCUGGAUUUAUAGGAUGCUUGCAUUCAACACACUGAAGCACCUCAAUCUGAAACUCUUACAAUUUGGAAUGAAUAAUGUUGGAAUGAUGCGUGAGCUUCAUGAAGAAAUGCUGGAAGAAGCUACCUGUUAUUUUAAAAUCAGCAUUGAGGAGUUCCUACUGUGCACAUGUGGAAUUAAAGCAGAAAAACUGCAAAGGACAACACAGCUGAAGACAGGUCCAGAGCAAACACUCAGUGCCAAGCAGUCACUCAAGAAACAGUUGUGGGAAACACUGAAACAAAGAGACUUUGCAGGCAAGAUUAUUGGCAUAGCCUUUGAAAAGAAGGAGCAGUGCUGGGGCGGCGCCGCGUGGAAUCGGCGUCUCCGCAUGGGUGUUAUUCUUUCCCACGGCAGGAGCAGAGCCAAAGCGAGGCAGGUGACACAACACCAAGCGGGCAGUGCCUGUGCCAGGGCUGGCAGUGGCAGCAGUAGCAACAGCGCAGGUGAUCUUUCCUGUGGCAGGAGCCGCGCGGGCAGCAGCAGGAGCAAGGCAGCUGAUGCUACACCACACGAGUGUUUGCUGAGGCUGCAAACUGCUGAGCUGCGCUGCUCAGACGCCAGUGGGACGUGGGGGCCGGUGGCUCAAACAGGUGGCAGUGGCAAAGACCAAAAAACAAAGAAAAACAGCGGCUUUUAUGGAGGGGGGGGUGGAAUCCCGGGAGGAGAUGGUCUAACAAAUCAAUGGCUAGAUAGGAGGGGUCUAUGGGGACAAAUGUAAACAUAACAUGGAGUGGGAAAGUCACAUACCAGUGGCAGAAAGGAAAAAUCAUAACUGACAGUGAAUUUUCUGGAUAAAAGGGUGUAAAAAAUCAUGACAGACAAGCCACAGGGGCAGGAUUUUUGAGGAUAGACAGGGAAAAAUCUGAAGAUAUUAUAACUGCCACUGGGAGGCAGGUGGUAAACAACUUUUGGCACAGACUAAACAUAUGAUCUUCAAAUCCCCACUGCUAUAGGCAGGGAGAGACUAAACCUCUUCAAAUCCCCACUGCCACAAUUCCUUCUUUUUUGUUUAAUUUUUAUGAUAGCGUUAAGGGGAUUAUGGCAAUGGCAGUUAAUUAAACUUCAGAUUCUUCUCACUAUUGCUGAGGGGGAGAGGGUUUUUGGAGUUGGUAACACUUUUAACAAACAGUUUUUUACAAACACCAGUAACAACAGAAAUAAAAAACAGAAUUAAGACA